rfam:Gossypium hirsutum cultivar TM-1 chromosome 13, whole genome shotgun sequence
UGUUAACAAUUUCAUUUAUUUGUACCAGUAAAAACUGGCGUGGUUGAUAGAAUAACCAGACAAUAACACGUCGUGUGCCACGUUUACCUCAUGCUAAUGUCUAGGGACCAAUUUUAACAGUAGAAAUGGAUGAAAUUUUUAGAA